CAUGGCACAGCACAGUGUGGCACAGCACAGCACAACGUGUCAUAGCACAGCAUGGCACAGCGUAGUGUGGCACAACAUGGCACAGCACAGCAUUGCACAGCACAGUGUGGCACAGUGUAGUGUGGCACAGCAUGGCACAACAUAGCAUUUCACAGCAUGAUGUGGCACAGCAUGGCACAGCAUAGGGUGGCAUAGCAUGGCACAACACAGUGUGGCACAGCAUGGCACAGCUCAACAUGGCACAGCACAGAGUGGCACAGCACAGCACAACAUGGCACAGCACAGAAUGGCACAGCACAGCUCAACAUGGCACAGCACAGAAUGGCACAGCACAGCACAACAUGGCACAGCACAGUGUGGCACAGCACAGUGUGGCACAACAUGGCACAGCACAGCAUUGCACAGCACAGUGGUACAGCACAGCAUUGCACAGCACAAUGUGGCACAGUGUAGCGUGGCACAGCAUGGCACAUCACAGUGGCACAGCACGACACAGCGUUGCAUGGCACAGCAUGGCACAGCUCACUAUGGCAUGGCACAGCACAGCACGGCACAGCAUUGCAUGGCACAGUGUGGCACAGCAUUGCAUGGCACAGUGUGGCACAGCACAACAUGGCACAGCACAGCACAGCUCAUUGUGGCACAGCACAACGUGGCACAGCACAGCAUGGCACCAUCUCCA
rnacentral:lncRNA from 1 species